GGUCCUAUAGCUCAGUUGGUUAGAGCACCUGACUCAUAAUCAGGGGGUCCAUGGUUCGAGCCCAUGUGGGACCA
rfam:Tenacibaculum mesophilum strain DSM 13764 genome assembly, contig: Ga0131220_101